rnacentral:rRNA from 1 species
GACGAACGCUGGCGGCAUGCCUAACACAUGCAAGUCGAACGGAACUUAUUGAAUGAAGUUUUCGGAUGGAUUUUGGUAAGUUUAGUGGCGGACGGGUGAGUAACGCGUGAGCAACCUGCCUUUCAGAGGGGGACAACAGUUGGAAACGACUGCUAAUACCGCAUAACGUAUUUCGGAGGCAUCUCUGAGAUACCAAAGAUUAUAUCGCUGAAAGAUGGGCUCGCGUACGAUUAGAUAGUUGGUGAGGUAACGGCUCACCAAGUCGACGAUCGUUAGCCGGACUGAGAGGUUGAACGGCCACAUUGGGACUGAGACACGGCCCAGACUCCUACGGGAGGCAGCAGUGAGGAAUAUUGGGCAAAUGGGCGCAAGCCUGACCCAGCAAUGCCGCGUGAAGGAAGACGGUUUUCGGAUUGUAAACUCUUUUAAGAGGGACGAUAAUGACGGUACCUCUUGAAUAAGCAACGGCUAAACUACGUG